GGUGGUGUGGUGUAAUGGUAGCACGUGACGUUGUGGAGAAACACGCCGAACCGUUUCAAUCUGGGUUCGAUUCCCAGCACCGCCA
rnacentral:tRNA from 1 species